UACGUAGGCAGCAAGCGUUUGUUCGGAGUUACUGGGCGUAAAGGGUGCGUAGGCGGUCCUAUAAGUAUGGUGUGAAAUCUCCCGGCUUAACUGGGAGGGUGCGCUAUAGACUGUGGGACUAGAGUGUGGGAGAGGAAAGUGGAAUUCCUGGUGUAGCGGUGAAAUGCGUAGAUAUCAGGAGGAACACCGGUGGUGUAAACGGCUUUCUGGACCAUAACUGACGCUGAGGCACGAAAGCGUGGGUAGCAAACGGG
rnacentral:rRNA from 1 species